rnacentral:rRNA from 1 species
GACGACGACUCCUACGGGAGGCAGCAGUGGGGAAUAUUGCACAAUGGGCGCAAGCCUGAUGCAGCCAUGCCGCGUGUAUGAAGAAGGCCUUCGGGUUGUAAAGUACUUUCAGCAGUGAGGAAGGUGGGUAUGUUAAUAGCAUACUCAUUUGACGUUAGCUGCAGAAGAAGCACCGGCUAACUCCGUGCCAGCAGCCGCGGUAAUACGGAGGGUGCGAGCGUUAAUCGGAAUUACUGGGCGUAAAGCGCAUGCAGGUGGUUUGUUAAGUCAGAUGUGAAAGCCCGGGGCUCAACCUCGGAAUUGCAUUUAGAAACUGGACAAACUAGAGUACUGUAGAGGGGGUAGAAUUUCAGGUGUAGCGGUGAAAUGCGUAGAGAUCUGAAGGAAUACCGGUGGCGAAGGCGGCCCCCUGGACAGAUACUGACACUCAGAUGCGAAAGCGUGGGGAGCAAACAGGAUUAGAUACCCUGGUAG